GUGGGCGAGAUUUUCUGUUGUGCUUGAUCUAACCAUGUGGUUGUGAGGUAUGCGUUAAACAUGGUUUUGUCAAGCACCAUGGAACGUCACGCAGCU
rnacentral:pre_miRNA from 11 species